rnacentral:siRNA from 1 species
UUCUAGUUCGUCGAUAUGUUG